rnacentral:lncRNA from 1 species
UCAAGUCUUUUAUCAAAAAAUUGUCUCGAAUUUGAAAGAAUGUUCGACUAAUUAAGGGUUUGCCCACUUAAAAAUUGUAACAAAAAUUUAUUGAAAUCCUCUCCGAUACAUCCAUCAUAUCCUAACGUAUAUUGUAAGAGAUUUUACCAUAUAUCCUAAAAAAGAUAAAACAUAUCUUAACACGACAUCCUCACUAAACCCUACUUAACAAAAUGAGUGCUUGUAAGGGGUCGAGGACAGGCCUAACACCGAAUCCACCACCUAUAUAAAACUCCCUCGUCCUCAAAAUAGGCAAUCAAGACACUCCAAUCAAAAAACGGGGAUCUCUUUGUUCUCUAACCUCUUCCUACGGUUCUCAGCACUAGGAUAAGAACCACUCCAAGUCACCUAACCUCAAACCUUGUAUCCACACUAUUCCUACAACAAUCUAGUUCCUCAGUGCUUGUAAUGAUGCCAUGGUCCUUUUGUUUUACCUUUUUCUCGAAAGCGCCAUCAGUGGGGAAGACCAAGAUAAAUUUAUAGGGGUUUGUAAAGAUGAACAAGUAAAUGCUGAAGCAAAGCUUUUUAAAGAUGGAAGAUAAAGCAGUUUCUUAUGCUUUUGAAGACAAAUAUUGGGUAAAAGAGGAACAAAACUUUUUUAAAAGAGAUGCAUUGAAGAAAAUAAUAGUGUUUUCAACUGUGUGGCCAAUGAGUUGGAUGGGGCUAUACAAGGAAAAAGAUGGACAAUGCAGUAAGUUUUUUGUUGGUGAAAGGUACACCUGUAUAUUGAAUCAGAUUCCAACUAUGUGACCUUACAAUGGGAGUCUGCUCAUUUUCCAUGUAUAACAUUCAUUGCCCAACUUAAUAAAGCCAAGCAAUUAAUUCUCCUA